rnacentral:rRNA from 1 species
UACGGGGGGGGCAAGCGUUGUUCGGAAUUACUGGGCGUAAAGGGCUCGUAGGUGGCCAACUAAGUCAGACGUGAAAUCCCUCGGCUUAACCGGGGAACUGCGUCUGAUACUGGAUGGCUAGAGAUUGGGAGAGGGAUGCGGAAUUCCAGGUGUAGCGGUGAAAUGCGUAGAUAUCUGGAGGAACACCGGUGGCGAAGGCGGCAUCCUGGACCAAUACUGACACUGAGGAGCGAAAGCCAGGGGAGCAAACGGG